GCAUAAUCAUUAGUUCUUUAAUUGAGUACUGGAAUGAAAGGUAAUUCUAAGAGGAAUGUUUUAUUAAAUUAUUUUGAAUUUAAUUUAAAAGUAAAAAAGCUAUUUAUUAAUCCUUGGGACGAGAAGACCCUAGAAGCUUUUAAAAUGAAAGUUUUUUUGAUUGGGGCAAUUAAUUGAAGAUGUAAAUUUUUAAUAAAUUUAAAAUAAGGUUUUAAGUCUACUCUAGGGAUAACAGCGUUAUUUGGUUGGCGAGUUCUAAUUAAUAACCAAGUUUGCGACC
rnacentral:rRNA from 1 species